rnacentral:rRNA from 1 species
AUUGAACGCUGGCGGCAGGCUUAACACAUGCAAGUCGAGCGAGCGGCGGACGGGUGAGUAAUGUCUGGGAAACUGCCUGAUGGAGGGGGAUCACUACUGGAAACGGUAGCUAAUACCGCAUACCCUCAGAUGUGCCCAGCUGGGAUUAGCUAGUAGGUGGGGUAAGGGCUCACCUAGGCGACGACCCCUAGCUGGUCUGAGAGGAUGAACAGCCACACCGGAACGGAGACACGGCCCAGACUCCUACGGGAGGCAGCAGUGGGGAAUAUUGCACAAGGGGCGCAAGCCUGAGGCAGCCAGGCCGCGUGUGUGAAGAGGGCCUUCGGGUUGUAAAGCACGUUCAGCGAGGAGGCGUUACUCGCAGAAGAAGCACCGGCUAACUCCGUGCCAGCAGCCGCGGUAAUUC